UGAACGGGAGCAAAGCUAGGUUGUUAGGCCCACAUGGACAUGUUCAAUGUGGAGAAUAUCAGUUGCGUAGUAGAUACAUUUGUUGUGUUGCUUUAUGAAACAACGGAGUUGCCAGGUCAUGUCAAUGUAGAUUAGAAACGCUAAUCCAUACACAAACUAACAAACUUCGUAUUUUAGGUCGUACACUACUAAUAGGCUAUUAUAUAGGCCCUGCUAUAAAUUUAGAUAGUCUAUUGUCCACUAGAGGGCGACACUCUUCCCACUCAUGAACAAUUGGUGGUUCAAGGGAUACAGGGUUAAGGAGUGUAGAAGAGUGUUUCCACCCCUCCCUGUUGCAGAAGGGGGCUGAACUGAGCUUGGUGUUCUGGCUGGAGCAUUGCCAUUGUUUGAGAUUCCUGACGCGGGUGUCUGGCUGGAAGGGUAAGCCUGGUGACUGGGUAAACACUUUCUGUAGCUCUGCUUUCCCAUGACUGUCUAUUCCACAGUGAGACCAUUUACUAAUUUUCCCACCGCUUUGUGCAUUAUGUGCAAAAAUAACUUAAGAUGUGAAUCUGUUUUUGUUUUAAACUAUAGUAGGUUAACUAUAAACUAUAAUAGUUAUUGAAAAGAAUUAACACAGCAUGUAAACUUGUAUGCUUCUCACAGUAAAUACACUACUUCAGUAAAGGAUAUGAAUUCAAGUAUGCAAAAAAAAAAAAAAAAAAAAAAAAAUUAUAUCGUCAGCAAAACAACAACAAAAAAGUAAUAACAAAAGCUAUAAUAAUUGUCCUGCUUUCUUCAAUAUCUAAAAUGUUUAAAUGUUUCAGAAAAUUCUCUCCAAAUGAGUCUUGGUGCUAGAGCUAGCUAGAUCUUUGCUUUUAUACUAGAGUUCAACUUCAAAUAAGUAAAAUAUAUGCUUGUAUUCUGAAAAACAAACAUUGUAGAUUGUCUGAUUAUAGUAUAAAUUAUUAGGGAAAAAAAUCUAUAAAUACAUAUGCAAGUUUUUCUUGUCAGCAUGUUUGAGGUUUUUCAAAAUGUUACUGUUUUGAUCAAACUUCAUUGAACACUAGCCACACUGGCUCUGAGGCUUAAAAAUAAUCCUUUAAAUAUAGGGUCCCAAAAUAUAUUUUUAAAUGCAAUGGCAAGAAGGAAAUUACAUAAGCAUUCACUCUACCCUCAAUGAAACCACUAACAAAUGUGUUCAAGAUUUUUCACCCCACUAUAUAUGGUACAGUGUCCCAUUUAAACAUUCAUAAACAUAUUCUUUGUACAUUUACUGUAUAGUGUUCAUGUAGUGAAUUCAUAUUUACUUCUCUGCAAAAACACCACAUUUGUCAGGGUUUUAGAACAUAUAAGUGUACACAGGUAAUGCAAUCAGAUUUCUGGGGAAUGGAGAUAAAGAAAAAGGGAGAAAUGCAUGUAAUGAUUGAGUUUGGAAAUUUCAGUAGCUUUUAUUUAUGUAAAGUGUUUCAUGGUGCCCACAUUGUGGCAAAUUCUGCAAACGUAUGUGAACAUGUUAGAGGGUAAAAAAAAAAAAAAAUCUCAUCCUGCAAGAUUUCGUCCUCUUUGUAUUCAAAUAAUAUUUCCUUGUAUUAUUAAAAUUUUAAAAACACAACAUUUCACCCUGAUUUUUUUUUGACAGGUAACAAGACUCAAAUAAAAACAACAACCUGUAGAUCAUCAGGGCUCAAAUUUAAAGAUGUUUUCAAAUCUAAUAUAGAAAUCAAAACAAUAAAUACACCACCAAAGAGUGCAACAAACCAAAAACUAUGAAGUUUAUAAAGCAAGCAGAAAGAACAUUUAUUUGGAAUCUUUAUUUUGUUUUUGUACAUUUCCACCAUCCAAAUUUACAUUAAAUCCAAGCCCUGAUUCUGAGUUUAAGAAAAUUGUAGAUCCAUUUCCAAAACAAAAAUCUUUCAACAUACAUAGUUCAUCAUAGGCUUAACUCUUCUUUAACACAGCCUGUCCAACAUCUAUUUGGCCAACUUCAACUAACUUCAGAUAGAAAAUGGGCAGUAUUUAAUCACUCUUGAUUUUCCUGUGCACUUAAAAUAUUGAUGUUUAGUGAAUGUUUAGUGGUAUAUGCAGGUUGUUACAAAAUGCGAUUAGCACCUUUACUUUGAUUUUAAUUUAAGGGUUAGCACCUCGUCCCAA